GAGAGUAUAGCUCAGUGGUUGAGCGUGUGCUUAGCAUGCACAAGGUCCUAGGUUUAAUCCCCAGUACUUCCA
rnacentral:tRNA from 1 species